AUACGGAGGGGGCAAGCGUUGUUCGGAUUUACUGGGCGUAAAGCGCGCGUAGGCGGUCUGUUUAGUCAGGCGUGAAAUCCCUGGGCUUAACCCAGGAACUGCGUUUGAAACUGGCAGACUAGAGUUCGGGAGAGGAGAGUGGAAUUCCCAGUGUAGAGGUGAAAUUCGUAGAUAUUGGGAAGAACACCAGUGGCGAAGGCGGCUCUCUGGACCGAUACUGACGCUGAGGUGCGAAAGCGUGGGGAGCAAACAGGAUUAGAAACCCCAGUAGUCC
rnacentral:rRNA from 1 species